rnacentral:rRNA from 1 species
UAGGGAAUCUUCGGCAAUGGACGAAAGUCUGACCGAGCAACGCCGCGUGAGUGAAGAAGGUUUUCGGAUCGUAAAACUCUGUUGUUAGAGAAGAACAAGGACGUUAGUAACUGAACGUCCCCUGACGGUAUCUAACCAGAAAGCCACGGCUAACUACGUGCCAGCAGCCGCGGUAAUACGUAGGUGGCAAGCGUUGUCCGGAUUUAUUGGGCGUAAAGCGAGCGCAGGCGGUUUCUUAAGUCUGAUGUCAAAGCCCCCGGCUCAACCGGGGAGGGUCAUUGGAAACUGGGAGACUUGAGUGCAGAAGAGGAGAGUGGAAUUCCAUGUGUAGCGGUGAAAUGCGUAGAGAUCUGGAGGAAUACCGGUGGCGAAGGCGGCUCUCUGGUCUGUAACUGACGCUGAGGCUCGAAAGCGUGGGGAGCAAACAGG